AUGCUCCUGCCAGCUGGGUCCCUGUCACUGCCCUGUGCCUUUCAGGUCCUGCAGUGUCUGGACUUGAGCAAACACGGGCACAGUGCCCUGUCAGUCAUGUCCAGGCAGCUGCUGAGCGAGAGCAGCAACAGGCUGCACCUGGAGCUCAGUGGCCUCGUGGUGCUCAGCAAGGAGCCCUUGCUGGUGAGAAGGGGGCAGUGUGCGCUGGCAGCAUGGGGCUGGGCAACGCAGCCCCUUGAGCUUACCUGGGAUUCGACAGCUGAGGCAGCUUCUCCCAGCUCUCCUGCCUCCCGCUUCAGCUGCCUGAGUGCCUCGGCACAGGCCUCUGGCCUCUGGGCCCUGAGGCAGCUGGGUGGGGGUGCAGAGCCAGGGCCCUGUUGGUGCUGCAGCCCUCCAGGGCUUCACAGCACAGCCUUGUGUUGCACACAGAGUGGAGGAAUAGGUGGCCUGUAUAAACGCCUGGUGGAGCAGCUGGCUGACUCAGAUGGAGAGGUGGUCAAGAUGACCCUCUCUGUGCUCGCCCAUAUGCUCCAGGAGAAAGACCUCAAGAUACCCAGUGCCACUGCCCCUAAGCUGGCUGAGCCACUCCUGCCACACUUUGAGAACGUAUGGCUCUUUGCCCACAGGCACUGGACACUGCCCGGAAACUUUGUGCCCUGGGCAGUUUUGGGUCUUUGCCCUGCUGGGCCUGGAGUAGUUGGUGCUGAGGUCUUCUCCUUUCCUCCAGGACAACAGCCAUGUGCAGCUGCUCUCCAUCCAGCUCUUCUGCAAAGCGAUGGAGCUGGUAGCGGAAGAGGGGAAAAAGGCUCUCACAAGAACUGUGAGCCAGACCCUGCUCUCAACUCUUCUUGCGCUGGCACGUGGCGAAGGCUUCUGGCAAAACCCUGCUUUGUGCGGCACACGUCCUGAGGAGGAGGGAUCUCGAGGAGCUGCUGAGCAAGGAGCAGUGUACGAAGGUCGCCGGGUGCCUGGUAAGGCCAGCCUGGAAGCCCCAGCCACAGCCUGGAGAAGUGCCCUGCCCCUGGAGCUCCGCGUGCGGGGCCCGCAGCUGUGGCCCUGCCCAGCGCCGCAGCCAGGGCAGCCACAGCCUGCGCCCCACACAGGGGCUGCUCCCUUUGCUGGGCACUGUGUUCCCAGGGCUCACCAGAACGCUCCUGAUGGGACAGAAGGAGGAGCUGCAGGUCCUCAGCGAGGAUGAGUGAGGGCAGCCGCCCUCGUGGCAGCAGGGACCGCCGGGGGCAGCUGCAAAUGCCGGGCACGGAGCUACAAUUGCUGCCCGGGCUGCAGAGGGCUCUGCUCCCUGUGCAGACGAGGGGCAGUGCGGGCGGAGCAGGGAGAGCUCUCAGGGACAAGGGGGGAUCUGUGGCCGGCACCUUCCAGCCCGUGCCCUGGUCUCCCGCUCCCUUGUGGCCAUGGCAGGAGCCAGGUGGGAUGGCCCUGGCAGGAAGGUUUCCUUGGAUUCCCGCAAUCCGGCCUCUGACUGUGGCUCUGUUCCCCUCUCUUCCAGCCCUUCAAGCCCUGAGGGAAGACGAGAGCCCCUCCUUCAUGAGCCAGGUUAUCCAGCUGAUGUUUGACAGAUCUGCCGAACUUUGUCUGCUGGAUCAGAGGAACCAGUGUCCUUCGGCGACCUUCCCAUUGAAGAUGGGACCAGCUGCAGAGCAGACGGGACCAGCUGGAGCUCCAGGCACAGCUCUUGCUGGUCACGCCUGAGCCUGUGGCAAGCUCAAGGAGCUCCUGCCGUCUCCCUCCCUGCUGGCACCUCCCUCCCUCCAUUCCUCAGGCCCUGCUCCUCCCCUGUUUUGCCUCCCAGCUCACCCCUUCUCUUUACGUUCCCUUCAUAAAGUUUGGUUUGUUCACUUUACCCACGUCUCUGUGGAGCCUGAGUGGCGCCAAACCUGAGCCUUGGGACACACAGGGCCCUGCUGCCGUUCUCUUCCGCGCUGUGUUCUGUGCACAGACAGAGGGGAGCAAGGGCAGCUCAGGCUGCAAAGGUCCCUGUCCUGCAGGUGCCUUGCACAACACUGUGGGGUUAAAAGUCGUGCGGAGCACACUGAAGGGGACAAGGAGCCUGGGUUUUAG
rnacentral:lncRNA from 12 species